ensembl:lncRNA
GGUUUUAGUCAGGGAAGAAAAGUAAUCGAGUCGCCACCUGGUGGUUUCGUUCCUAACGCUGAGCGAAAUGAAUGGGAUUCUCCAUAGACAUGUUUUUAGAAAAAAAUGGUAGGGGUUUGACUUUUGUUGUCAACAUGUACGUGAACUAGCAGUUUUGGCUGUUCGUAGAGAUGGUGCCGGAGGUGAGAACCCAUGAGACAAAAUGUUUAAAGAUGUCGGCAAUUAAUUCGAAUAUGGCAAUUGUCUUUGGGUUAUUACGGUCUCCCAUUCGCUCACACAAAACAUCUACCUUCAGCCUCCCUUAGCUGAUGUGGAACAGUGCCACUUCAAGGCUAGCCAAGAUCAGCUACUGGGUACUGGACCCACUGCGUGUCAAUAUGUAACAUUGUGCUGGUUCGCUUACAAGACCCUGUUCAGUCACAGUUUUCAAAAGAAAAAACAAACAGCUUUGGCCAAGGCGAGUUCUAUCCAAAAAGACUUCCAGAACCAGGAUGUGGUUCUUGGAUCUGACGCAACACUUACCACUAAAGUUUUUUUUCAAUGCUUUUGUUUUUUGUUUACAAAAGACAUUUUUUUAUUGUGAAGGUACUGUCAGCUGAGCCCAAAUACAACAGGGUCUGAUCUCACCCUCAGGAUCAGGCUGAUAUUGAUAUUGGUUGAUACUGAUGCAUCUUUAUUUGGUACAUUCGCGUUCGAAAUGCCCAUUGGUUGGCUGUGUAUUGUUUCGGGUGAGUCCCCCCCUUGGGUGACAGCACAGACAAGCAUGGAAGAAGGGGGGGGUUAGAGGGGGAUGUUUGUCUCUAAGAUGGGGGGCAGGCUUUUGGGAGGGGCCCAGUUAGGGGAGGUCUGAGCAAUUCCAUUCAUUCUCUCUCUCGCUGUGCCCCCUUUACCCCCUUCCCUUCUCCUCCCUUCUCUACCCCCCCCCCCCCCAGUACCCCCUCUUUCUUCUCUCUUGUCUCUUCUCCCCUCCUCCUUUUAUCUGACUAUCCUCAUGCUUCUCUCACACAACCAAGCCAACACACAGACCAUCACGAGGUAAGCACCAUAUUCUCUGUGCACAGAGACACAAAUGAAAAUAUAACCGAGUGCUUUUACUUCCAGUGUGGUUCUAACACCAGCCAGGUAUCUGUUUGUUUUGUGAAAGACUUUGUAUAUUAGUUAUUAUUUUAUGAGCGUAAUCAGUCAGUAGACACAUAUCAGGCCAACUGCGCAGCAUGUUUUGACACUCUUUAGCCCCUGUUGUUCCCCUCACAGCAGGUGGAGUUAGCAUGUAUUACUGAUGGUCUGACCCUGUUGUGUACGAAUAGAACAAAGACUUCUCAAUAUUUGUCUUUUAGCUAUGUUUGUGCUUUAGCUAUAAAAUUGUAGGUAAUCACAAAUGUAAUCUUAUAAUUACUUGUGUUUUUCAACCCAUUUGCUCAUUUAACCCCAUGCCUUUUGUUCCUUGUUUCUCAGGUUGUGCAGGUCCCUUGUUCCCACUGAGACACAUUACUGAUGCUUGGCUGCAGCUGAAGAAAAGGACUACUUCUUCUCUCAAGCCCACACACACACAUACGCACGCACGU